CUUCUUCUUCUUCUGCAAUU
rnacentral:sRNA from 1 species